UUCAAUCAUAAAAGGUGGCUUUCAGCUACCACUUACAGAUGGACCCGCGGCGCAUUAGCUAGUUGGUGAGGUAACGGCUCACCAAGGCGACGAUGCGUAGCCGACCUGAGAGGGUGAUCGGCCACACUGGGACUGAGACACGGCCCAGACUCCUACGGGAGGCAGCAGUAGGGAAUCUUCCGCAAUGGACGAAAGUCUGACGGAGCAACGCCGCGUGAGUGAUGAAGGUUUUCGGAUCGUAAAACUCUGUUGUUAGGGAAGAACAAGUACCGUUCGAAUAGGGCGGCACCUUGACGGUACCUAACCAGAAAGCCACGGCUAACUACGUGCCAGCAGCCGCGGUAAUACGUAGGUGGCAAGCGUUGUCCGGAAUUAUUGGGCGUAAAGCGCGCGCAGGCGGUUUCUUAAGUCUGAUGUGAAAGCCCCCGGCUCAACCGGGGAGGGUCAUUGGAAACUGGGGAACUUGAGUGCAGAAGAGGAGAGUGGAAUUCCACGUGUAGCGGUGAAAUGCGUAGAGAUGUGGAGGAACACCAGUGGCGAAGGCGACUCUCUGGUCUGUAACUGACGCUGAGGCGCGAAAGCGUGGGGAGCGAACAGGAUUAGAUACCCUGGUAGUCCACGCCGUAAACGAUGAGUGCUAAGUGUUAGAGGG
rnacentral:rRNA from 1 species